rnacentral:rRNA from 1 species
AGUGAACGCUGGCGGUAGGCCUAACACAUGCAAGUCGAACGGCAGCACAGUAAGAGCUUGCUCUUACGGGUGGCGAGUGGCGGACGGGUGAGGAAUACAUCGGAAUCUACUUUUUCGUGGGGGAUAACGUAGGGAAACUUACGCUAAUACCGCAUACGACCUACGGGUGAAAGCAGGGGAUCUUCGGACCUUGCGCGAUUGAAUGAGCCGAUGUCGGAUUAGCUAGUUGGCGGGGUAAAGGCCCACCAAGGCGACGAUCCGUAGCUGGUCUGAGAGGAUGAUCAGCCACACUGGAACUGAGACACGGUCCAGACUCCUACGGGAGGCAGCAGUGGGGAAUAUUGGACAAUGGGCGCAAGCCUGAUCCAGCCAUACCGCGUGGGUGAAGAAGGCCUUCGGGUUGGAAAGCCCUUUUGUUGGGAAAGAAAAGCAGCAGGUUAAUACCCCGCUGUUCUGACGGGACCCAAAGAAUAAGCACCGGCUAACUUCA